ensembl:lncRNA
UGCUUGAGAAGCACAGACAGGCUGAAGUCGACAGUUUUCUUUGUUUGCUUUUAAGACUUCAUUUCAGCUCUGUUUACAUUAGCUGGAAGGCCAAGAAAUAAACUAGAAAGUGUGGCCCACAGGCUCUUGUUAGUGACAUGUAGAUAUCAGUCUACAAAGCUAUCUGUCAGCGCUGCGUAAGACCAAUGUAAAAGCAUGAAAAAGCCUUCUGGCUGCUGGGGGAUUUCCAGUGAUGCAGAGCUCUAUUUCACUCCCCUACUUUCAUUUCCCAUGUGUUUAUAUGCCGCGUGUUGUUCUACUGCGUGUUGCCUUCUCGCUCCCAUAGUUUGUGUUUCGUACUCUCUCCGUGCUCCUCUUUUCAGUCUCCUCAUUCCUUUUACUCCCCACUUGGUUACACACUCCAUGAUGGACGGAUGGUUCUGAUGGAUUUCUCUUCCAGUUAAAAAUCACCUUUUCCUUCACACCAUGGCCAAAGGUUUGCUCAAAGAGAGUCUGAUGUAACACAGUUUUACAUCAGGGCCAAUAGAGUUUGACAAACCCUGCUCUAGAGGGUUUUUGCAGCAAAUUUUAAACAAUUUUAUUCAAUAGUUGUUAAAAUAGCCUCUAUAACAGGAUAAAUGAAGAGUCUGACCCAAAAGAAAGCUGCUAUUAGUGAAAGGUCACUAAAAUCAGCUGGAUUCCUCCUGCAGGUACGCAUACUAAAUGUCUUGAUCAUACAAUGGUUGUAGAGAUAGUCCAGUCUGGACCUAAUUGGUGGAUUGUUAUACAAGCACUGACAUCCAUAAGUGCUAAUGUGAAAGAAAAAUAAUAACAGAACAAAAAAAUAAUAAAAGAAAAAAGCCGAAAUGAUGGAGGACACAUCAAACAAAUGUUGCAAUAGGUAGAACUAAAAGCCAAAACAGAUAAACAAAAUCCCACUGCUCAUAAGAACGGCUCACAAUAACAAUACAUUGACAGUAAAGAAAAAGCCCACAUUGAUUCCACUCUGAAACAUGAUUGGUGAUUAUCUGGAUGAGCUCAUGCUUAGCUGAAGUGACAUGAGUAGCUGAAGACAGUCAACAGCUGACGCUUAAUUGGAGCAAAAAAAAAAAAAAACAAUGCUGAGUUCGAUCCUGUAGGUUGGUUGCAGAGGCAAGGAAGAAUCGGUUAAGUGAGGAAGGGUUCGUUAUAAACAGAAGCACAAAAGCAUCGGUCCAAUUAAAACUGACAGAGGUACACGAUCCUGCUCGCUUGUUUGUGUCUGCGUACACAAAUGUCUGUUUACUGUGUUGGUAUGAUUUGUGAGAGAAGAGUUUUAGAGAAUAAUAUGUAUAUAUGGAGAGAGAGAGACAGAGAGAGAGACAGAGAGAGAGAGAGAGAGAGGAUUAUAAAGUAGGUCGAGUUUCGUAUAUUUUAACUGCCAAUAUUAGAAAUCAAAAGAGCCCAGCAUUUAUCUUUUCUCACUUUAUUCUAAAUUCGUGUGUGUGUGUGUGUGUGUGUGUGUGUGUGUGUGUGUGUGUGUGUGUGUGUGUGUGUGUGUGUGUGUGUGUGUGUGUGUGUGUGUGUGUGUGCAAC